CAAAGCUCUUGAGAAAAAAAAUGCACUCACAUUACUCUAAGGUACAUUCCUAAUAUAACAUUUAAGCACCUAUAGGGGUUCCGCCAGUGUUGCAAUCUGAGGAACACCUAAAGGUGCCUCCAGAAACCUUUUUUAUUAGUGUGGCGCAAUGGGAUUAAGUGCAUUUCUCAUCUGAUCAUCUGUGAAGAGUGCCUGGCAAAUGAAAACAACCUAUACUGGAACGUGCCUUAAAUCUCAAAUUUCAAGUUCACAGAGGAACACACAUUUAAUUGAGUUAACUCCCGGGUGGUGCAGUGGUCUAAGGCAGCGCCAGCGGUGCCACCGGAGACUCUGGGUUCGCGCUAGUGCGACCGGGAGGUCCGUGGGGCGACGCACAAUUGGCCAAGGAUGCUGAAAAAUAGCGGAGGAUGAGGGGAUUUGAUUAAUCUGCCCUGGGUAUGUGUUGCGUGCCUUCUAAAAUGAGGGAGGUUCAGGAAUCAUGAGCAGGAGAGCAAGGAAGCCCCAGUAGCACAAUCGUUUAUUAGAAGUACCAACUCAACAACAACAGGUGGGAGAACACGCCCAAACGAAGUCGCCACACACAGGGAAUAAACGCAACACACGGAGGAGAAACCUCUACUCCUAAAAGAAAAUCCCGUGGCGCAAACACGCACCCCUAACAUAGCAACAACAGCAAAUAAUAACAGCAAAUAAUCCCGCACACAUAAUAGCAGGCAGCGUAGGUUAAUAAAUAAUAGGACACAGGUGUAAAGAAAAAACAGACAGACACAAACGAAAAUAAAAAAAAUGGAUCGCCGAGCACCGCACGAACAGGGAGAGGAUCCACCUUCAGUGGAUAUCGUGACAGUAUGCGUGUUUUGCACCGGGUGAAAAUUGAUUGGAUUAGUUUUGAAACCGGGCUUCCUCCCAGGCAUGAGGCAGGUGCCCAGUUCAAAGCCCACUGCGAAGUCUGCACAAAACAAAUGUGACCUGGUUAAGUACUAAAGGUAAUGAGUGGGAUUAUGUGUUUUCACAUGCAAAAGUAAUAGCUUUUAAUAAAAAUCGAACAUGUAUUUUGUAGAAAAGAGAUGUGCGUUUCUGGAUGAUGCAACAUGCUGCCUUGUUGACAACAUGUACAGGCCACAGACCGGUGUCCGGUCUAUAAUCGAAUUCGCCCAUUGGCAGAGAGGUUUGGAACUCUCUUUGCUUUCAGGAACCUUUUCCCCAAGGAAUCUUUUAAAAAUGCUCCUCAAAUAACCUUUUAGGGUGUUAAGGUUCCCGUAGGAAACUUUUAUGUCCCAUGUAUUCCAUUAUGAACAAUAACAAUAAUACUAUUAACAAUAGUAAUACAAAUAACAUUGAGUGGUGAACUUGUAAAGUCACAAAUUCAUUUUAUUAACUUUAAAAGUCCCAGAAAUCUCACUUGCAGACUUCACAGAAAUCUCUGGUCUCCCUUAUCCCUCUCUACAGCAAAAAGUUUCCCUCAUCAAUUCCCAGAACACAUUUCUGAAUGAACAGCGUAGUGCUUUUUAAUGAUGCUGCAUACUCAAUAUUAAAAAGGAAAUGGACCCCCCAUUGCCACUCCCAAUCCCAUGGAGAUGUCCUCCAGCUCUUCAGUGAGUAGCUCCUCCACAUCCAGGAAGAGUUGAAUGUGGCUCUCAUGAUGAAGGUUACUCAAUCAUAUUUCAAACACCCACUUGGAUCUUCUUUGAAGAGGUAGGGGAGGAGCAAAAUGGCUGCAGUGACCUUCAGACCUGUGUAAUAGGGUGUGUAAUAAAAUGGCUGCAGUGACCUUUAGAGCUGUGUAAUAGAGUGUGUAAUAAAAUGGCUGCAGUGACCUUCAGACCUGUGUAAUAGGGUGUGUAAUAAAAUGGCUGCAGUGACCUUCAGACCUGUGUAAUAGAGUGUGUAAUAAAAUGGCUGCAGUGACCUUCAGACCUGUGUAAUAGAGUGUGUAAUAAAAUGGCUGCAGUGACCUUCAGACCUGUGUAAUAAAAUGGCUGCAGUGACCUUCAGACCUGUGUAAUAGGGUGUGUAAUAAAAUGGCUGCAGUGACCUUCAGACCUGUGUAAUAAAAUGGCUGCAGUGACCUUCAGACCUGUGUAAUAGGGUGUGUAAUAAAAUGGCUGCAGUGACCUUCAGACCUGUGUAAUAGGGUGUGUAAUAAAAUUGCUGCAGUGACCUUCAGACCUGUGUAAUAAAAUGGCUGCAGUGACCUUCAGACCUGUGUAAUAGGGUGUGUAAUAAAAUUGCUGCAGUGACCUUCAGACCUGUGUAAUAAAAUGGCUGCAGUGACCUUCA